AGACCCGAAACCCGGUGAUCUAGCCAUGGGCAGGUUGAAGGUUGGGUAACACUAACUGGAGGACCGAACCGACUAAUGUUGAAAAAUUAGCGGAUGACCUGUGGCUGGGGGUGAAAGGCCAAUCAAACCGGGAGAUAGCUGGUUCUCCCCGAAAGCUAUUUAGGUAGCGCCUCGUGAAUUCAUCUCCGGGGGUAGAGCACUGUUUCGGCUAGGGGGCCAUCCCGGCUUACCAACCCGAUGCAAACUGCGAAUACCGGAGAAUGUUAUCACGGGAGACACACGGCGGGUGCUAACGUCCGUCGUGAAGAGGGAAACAACCCAGACCGCCAGCUAAGGUCCCAAAGUCAUGGUUAAGUGGGAAACGAUGUGGGAAGGCCCAGACAGCCAGGAUGUUGGCUUAGAAGCAGCCAUCAUUUAAAGAAAGCGUAAUAGCUCACUGGUCGAGUCGGCCUGCGCGGAAGAUGUAACGGGGCUAAACCAUGCACCGAAGCUGCGGCAGCGAACGUAUCACCCAAGACAACUUUACGGAGUUGACGAUUGACGGAGCGAAGCGACGUCAAAGCGUUCAUUAAAGUCGAGUUGGCUUAGGGAUACGUUCGUUGGGUAGGGGAGCGUUCUGUAAGCCUGUGAAGGUGUGUCGUGAGGCAUGCUGGAGGUAUCAGAAGUGCGAAUGCUGACAUAAGUAACGAUAAAGCGGGUGAAAAGCCCGCUCGCCGGAAGACCAAGGGUUCCUGUCCAACGUUAAUCGGGGCAGGGUGAGUCGACCCCUAAGGCGAGGCCGAAAGGCGUAGUCGAUGGGAAACGGGUUAAUAUUCCCGUACUUGGUGUUACUGCGAAGGGGGGACGGAGAAGGCUAUGUUGGCCGGGCGACGGUUGUCCCGGUUUAAGCGUGUAGGUGUGUGUUCCAGGUAAAUCCGGUUCACUUUAACACUGAGGCGUGACGACGAGGCACUACGGUGCUGAAGCAACAAAUGCCCUGCUUCCAGGAAAAGCCUCUAAGCAUCAGGUAACACGAAAUCGUACCCCAAACCGACACAGGUGGUCAGGUAGAGAAUACCAAGGCGCUUGAGAGAACUCGGGUGAAGGAACUAGGCAAAAUGGUGCCGUAACUUCGGGAGAAGGCACGCUGACACGUAGGUGAAGUGAUUUACUCAUGGAGCUGAAGUCAGUCGAAGAUACCAGCUGGCUGCAACUGUUUAUUAAAAACACAGCACUGUGCAAACACGAAAGUGGACGUAUACGGUGUGACGCCUGCCCGGUGCCGGAAGGUUAAUUGAUGGGGUCAGCGCAAGCGAAGCUCCUGAUCGAAGCCCCGGUAAACGGCGGCCGUAACUAUAACGGUCCUAAGGUAGCGAAAUUCCUUGUCGGGUAAGUUCCGACCUGCACGAAUGGCGUAAUGAUGGCCAGGCUGUCUCCACCCGAGACUCAGUGAAAUUGAACUCGCUGUGAAGAUGCAGUGUACCCGCGGCAAGACGGAAAGACCCCGUGAACCUUUACUAUAGCUUGACACUGAACAUUGAGCCUUGAUGUGUAGGAUAGGUGGGAGGCUUUGAAGUGUGGACGCCAGUCUGCAUGGAGCCGACCUUGAAAUACCACCCUUUAAUGUUUGAUGUUCUAACGUGGACCCGUAAUCCGGGUUGCGGACAGUGUCUGGUGGGUAGUUUGACUGGGGCGGUCUCCUCCUAAAGAGUAACGGAGGAGCACGAAGGUUGGCUAAUCCUGGUCGGACAUCAGGAGGUUAGUGCAAUGGCAUAAGCCAGCUUGACUGCGAGCGUGACGGCGCGAGCAGGUGCGAAAGCAGGUCAUAGUGAUCCGGUGGUUCUGAAUGGAAGGGCCAUCGCUCAACGGAUAAAAGGUACUCCGGGGAUAACAGGCUGAUACCGCCCAAGAGUUCAUAUCGACGGCGGUGUUUGGCACCUCGAUGUCGGCUCAUCACAUCCUGGGGCUGAAGUAGGUCCCAAGGGUAUGGCUGUUCGCCAUUUAAAGUGGUACGCGAGCUGGGUUUAGAACGUCGUGAGACAGUUCGGUCCCUAUCUGCCGUGGGCGCUGGAGAACUGAGGGGGGCUGCUCCUAGUACGAGAGGACCGGAGUGGACGCAUCACUGGUGUUCGGGUUGUCAUGCCAAUGGCACUGCCCGGUAGCUAAAUGCGGAAGAGAUAAGUGCUGAAAGCAUCUAAGCACGAAACUUGCCCCGAGAUGAGUUCUCCCUGAGACUUAGAGUCUCCUGAAGGAACGUUGAAGACGACGACGUUGAUAGGCC
rnacentral:rRNA from 1 species